UUCCAGGAAAAGCCUCUAAGCUUCAGGUAACAAGGGACCGUACCCCAAACCGACACAGGUGGUCUGGUAGAGAAUACCAAGGCGCUUGAGAGAACUCGGGUGAAGGAACUAGGCAAAAUGGUACCGUAACUUCGGGAGAAGGUACGCCGCUUGGGGUGAUGGGACUUGCUCCCUGAGCUCUGGGCGGUCGAAGUGACCAGGUGGCUGCGACUGUUUAUUAAAAACACAGCACUCUGCAAACACGAAAGUGGACGUAUAGGGUGUGACGCCUGCCCGGUGCCGGAAGGUUAAUUGAUGGGGUCAGCCGCAAGGCGAAGCUCUUGAUCGAAGCCCCGGUAAACGGCGGCCGUAACAAUAACGGUCCUAAGGUAGCGAAAUUCCUUGUCGGGUAAGUUCCGACCUGCACGAAUGGCGUAACGAUGGCCACACUGUCUCCACCCGAGACUCAGUGAAAUUGAACUCGCUGUGAAGAUGCAGUGUACCCGCGGCUAGACGGAAAGACCCCGUGAACCUUUACUACAGCUUUGCACUGGACUCUGAAUCUGUUUGUGUAGGAUAGGUGGGAGGCUAUGAAGCCGGAACGCUAGUUCUGGUGGAGCCAACCUUGAAAUACCACCCUGACAUAUUUGGGGUUCUAACCCAGGCCCGUUAUCCGGGUCGGGGACAGUGUAUGGUGGGUAGUUUGACUGGGGCGGUCUCCUCCCAAAGAGUAACGGAGGAGCACGAAGGUACCCUCAGCGUGGUCGGAAAUCACGCUUUUGAGUGCAAAGGCAUAAGGGUGCUUGACUGCGAGAGCGACGGCUCGAGCAGGUACGAAAGUAGGUCUUAGUGAUCCGGUGGUUCUGAAUGGAAGGGCCAUCGCUCAACGGAUAAAAGGUACUCCGGGGAUAACAGGCUGAUACCGCCCAAGAGUUCAUAUCGACGGCGGUGUUUGGCACCUCGAUGUCGGCUCAUCACAUCCUGGGGCUGAAGCCGGUCCCAAGGGUAUGGCUGUUCGCCAUUUAAAGUGGUACGCGAGCUGGGUUUAGAACGUCGUGAGACAGUUCGGUCCCUAUCUGCCGUGGGCGUUGGAGAUUUGAGGAAAGCUGCUCCUAGUACGAGAGGACCGGAGUGGACGAACCUCUGGUGUUCGGGUUGUCACGCCAGUGGCAUUGCCCGGUAGCUACGUUCGGACGGGAUAACCGCUGAAAGCAUCUAAGCGGGAAGCCUCUUCCAAGAUGAGAUCUCCCUGGGGACUCGAUCCCCCUGAAGGGUUGUUCAAGACCAGGACGUUGAUAGGUGGGGUGUGUAAGCGCUGUGAGGCGUUGAGCUAACCCAUACUAAUUGCCCGUGCGGCUUGAUC
rnacentral:rRNA from 1 species